UAACUAACAUGAUCAGUUUUCCUUUCUCAGAUUCAGCAGUCUUUCUUGGUGUAUUUGAACAUUCUGUUUUGGACGUUCCCACAAAGAAGUUAUUUACCAUAUCUGGACAACAAUACUGAAAAAGAGACACACGUCUAAACUCCAGUCACAUAUUGAU